rnacentral:rRNA from 1 species
UUGAACGCUGGCGGCAGGCCUAACCCAUGCAAGUCGCACGGUAACAGGAAGCAGCUUGCUGCUUUGCUGACGAGUGGCGGACGGGUGAGUAAUGUCUGGGAAACUGCCUGAUGGAGGGGGAUAACUACUGGAAACGGUAGCUAAUACCGCAUAACGUCGCAAGACCAAAGAGGGGGACCUUCGGGCCUCUUGCCAUCGGAUGUGCCCAGAUGGGAUUAGCUAGUAGGUGGGGUAACGGCUCACCUAGGCGACGAUCCCUAGCUGGUCUGAGAGGAUGACCAGCCACACUGGAACUGAGACACGGUCCAGACUCCUACGGGAGGCAGCAGUGGGGAAUAUUGCACAAUGGGCGCAAGCCUGAUGCAGCCAUGCCGCGUGUAUGAAGAAGGCCUUCGGGUUGUAAAGUACUUUCAGCGGGGAGGAAGGGAGUAAAGUUAAUACCUUUGCUCAUUGACGUUACCCGCAGAAGAAGCACCGGCUAACUCCGUG